AUGCCCUUUUAAGCCAGUCUUUGAAGUCCGUUGAACUUUUGUUUGAAUUGACACCUGAUAACUGUGUUUGACACUUCACUGAUUCACUGAUUUCUUCACAGAUAUGGAUUUCAUUCUCUUCUCAAUUUCUCAAAUAGUUCCCAGAGUUGAAACCACGAAAGUAUAUAUGGGUUUGAAAAGUUUCGGAUCCUUGAGGAGUUCGUUCAACGACUGUGGUACACGUUCACAAAUAGAUUGAAGGUCAUCGAUCAUGACCAGUCUCUGGAUUCCAAAACUUCUACAUUUCAAGAUUAUGUGUUCCAUAUCGGCAAGCUCUUCAUUGCAAUAUGUACAUUCAGCGCUCGGAAUCAAGUUAAGCCUCUUCAGGUCUUGACUGAUUGCGGCUUGAUAGUCAGUGUGAGGUAACUUCAACAACAUAGAAUGGUCAACAUCAAAGCCAUUCCUUGCAGCCAGAUCAACAAUUUCAUUCCCCCUGAUGCCACUGUGCGAUGGUACCCAAAGGAAGAGCAGUGUCUUACCAACUACCCCGGGUACUCCAAUAUCACAUAAGAUGGCUAUUAAAAUUGAGGGGACCACGUUAUCGAACGCGCCCUGAACAUCAAGGAAGACACAAGCUGUAGCAGAGUGACCGUCAAGAGAAUUCCUAAGAUCUGAGACCAAUGCUGUAAAACUUUCUGCUGCACUUCGGCCUUUCCUAAAUCCGAAUUGUUCAUUUGGAGGAGAUACAGGGGAAUAUUUCUCAAAAAAAGAAGGAAUCCAUUCAUCAUUCUUCGGCAGUUUAGGAAUUGAAACACGCUUAAACCUCUUCAUAUAGUUCCAUACUGUACUAACAGGAGUAUAUCUAUUAAAAGAUUCACAUAAAGAUUU